UACGGAGGGUGCAAGCGUUAUCCGGAUUCACUGGGUUUAAAGGGUGCGUAGGCGGGUUGGUAAGUCCGUGGUGAAAUCUCCGAGCUUAACUCGGAAACUGCCGUGGAUACUAUCAAUCUUGAAUAUCGUGGAGGUAAGCGGAGUAUGUCAUGUAGCGGUGAAAUGCUUAGAGAUGACAUAGAACACCAAUUGCGUAGGCAGCUUACUACACGAUCAUUGACGCUGAGGCACGAAAGCGUGGGGAGCAAACAGG
rnacentral:rRNA from 1 species